CGUUUCAAUCUUAUCAACAGUCACUGAGACAGGAACCAUACCACAAAAUACAGAAUGCCAUUAGAUUCAGAAGUGCACUGGUUUUGAAUCAAUUAAAUCAAGGAAACGGCGUUAUUGAGUUGCCUUCAUGAUGGUAAAUCAUGAGCUGCAUAAUAAUGCAUGUACUGUUAAUUUACAUAUUCUCAAAAUACAGAAUAGCCUUCACUUUUAAUCAAUUAAUUAAGAAAUUAGCUGCAACUUUCUGAUUUUUUUAUAAUUAAUUGUUUUGAACUUAUUGCUGCUAUAUUUCGGAUAUGCAAUGUACAAUAUCCUCCUAAAUUAUACGUACAAUCGGCAACGUAAUAAAGUGGUUUAUAUGCGAAAUGUUUAAAAAUAUAUAAUGGUAUAACCUGUGUAAACAGAUAGACAUGCUAUGACCUUGAAUUGUUGGUAUAUUACAUUGGUCACUAUGAUACAUAUGUAUACCUAGAUACUGCGCAAUGAAUUGUGGUAAUGAUAACUAACGGAAUGGACUCUUUGACUCUUUUGGCACUGCGUAGUAUUCCUAAAUGAUGUUGUACAACCAGGUACAGAAUGCGGGCACAAAAACAUCCAAAUUGGGAGUUUAUAAAUAAGUUGUCAUAUUCGGCGAUUCUGUGUCUGCAUCGAUACCUCUAGUACUCUCUAUUGAGCCACGCAUUGCGUAUUCUAUAUAACCUUUGUAACCAUGAAUUCAUGUAUACUUUUAUAAUGACAUUCUAAUUUUGUACGUCAUACUAGGGUAAAAUCCAGAUUGAAAAUAUAUAAACAAUUUUAUAAACAAGUUAUCAACAAAUUGUCAUAUUUAGCGAUCAUGUGUCUACUAUGAAAGCCCUGAUACUGCAAGUUACCCAUGUAUUGUUUUUUCUAUCUAUUUAACCUUUAUAGCUUUAUAGCCAUGUAUGAAUGAAUGUAUUAUGUGUAAGCGAUGCUUCAUACACAGGUGGGGGACUCAGAUACUCAAAACCUGCAUCCAUACUCUUUGAUAGACAGUUUUGACAGUUUUGUUGCUUUAUUUAGAAAUAAAAUAUAACUCUGAAGUUUGAAUACUACGCGUUCACUCAUGGUCAUCGUAGAUGGGCUGAACUGGUCAGAACUGUCAAUCAUAAGUAAAAUGUUAUAUAAUCCCUUGUAAAAAGAAUUUUAUAUUGGGUUUUGAUUUAAGAUCUUUAAUUUUUAGGUUUAUAAGAAUUUUAUUUUUAUGAUUUUGAAUUUUAGAAUUUUUCAUUUGGGGUUUAUAAUUUUGGUUUUAGAUUUAUAGAAUUUUAUUUGAUUUUGGAUUUUGAUAGGUUUUUAAUUUUUGGAUUCAGAAUUUUUUUUUAGAUCUGGAAUUUUAUUUGAAUGUGAAAUUUUAGAAUUUCCUUUUAGAUCUUUGAUUUGUACUGCAUUUUAUUGAUGUUUUAACUUUGACAAAACUAUACGAUCACGCUUGUUAAUAAACUGCUUGGUAACC
rnacentral:sRNA from 1 species